GAUGAACGCUAGCGGCAGGCCUAAUACAUGCAAGACGAACGGUAAGUUGAGUAGCAAUACUUAGCCAAGAGUGUCGUACGGGUGCGUAACACGUAUGCAACCUACCCUAUACAGGAGGAUAGCCUAGGGAAACCUGGAUUAACCCUUCAUAGUAUUAUUGGAUGGCAUCAUUUGAUAAUUAAAACUGAGGUGGUAUAGGAUGGGCAUGCGUCUGAUUAGUUAGUUGGCGGGGUAAUGGCCCACCAAGACGAUGAUCAGUAGGGGUUCUGAGAGGAAGAUCCCCUACACUGGCACUGAGAUACGGGCCAGACUCAUACGGGAGGCAGCAGUAGGGAAUAUUGGUCAAUGGAUGCAAGUCUGAACCAGCCAUGCCGCGUGCAGGAAGAAGGCCUUCUGGGUUGUAAACUGCUUUUGCCAGGGGAUAAAAUUUCCAUGCGUGGAAAACUGAAGGUACCUGGUGAAUAAGCCACGGCUAACUACGUGCCAGCAG
rnacentral:rRNA from 1 species